GGGAAGUGACUCUAUAUAAAGGCAGCUCGCGUCUGCUUGUAUACAAACACCAACAACUCAGAUCAACACCACAAGGGCCAAGGAGAAGAUAACCCACAAACAGAAAAAAAAAUGAAACAACAAACUGUUCUUCUCACUGCUUUGGUAUUCACCAUUAUGAUGAUAUUUUGCCUACAGACAGUCUCAUGUAGAUCUAUAGAUCAGAUCAUUGCUGACUCAUCAGAUGCUAACCUCCAUAAAGAGAUUGUCGAGGAUGGGUCCUACCUUCACGAGAUGGACAUGAUGCUUACCCCAGAACAAAGGAGGAUGAUUUUUGGUGACGAGGCGGACGCCGAGACCAAUCAAGUUCAAGUAGAUGACCAGACUUUAUAAUGAGCAUUCGUUUAUACAGUCGACAUUUACAUCCUAAAAACAGCAAGCAACAAAGAAGUGUUAUUAACAGAAAGAUCCACUUAAAAGGAAACCAAUUUGUUUAAAACACAAUAAUAAUUUUGUGAAAUUGAAAAAAAAAAAUUAUAUAUAUUUUAAAAUUUCUCAUUUGAAAAAGAUUAAUUUUGUUUCGUGUCAUUUGAUUAAAAGUACAUUUGUAUUUUUUAAAUUUCUUUACUUGAUAUUAAAAGCUGAAUGUAAAUACUGUAAUAUUUUGUGCUCGCUUCAACUUGGACUCUUCUUCAGAGGUCUCCAAACCAUGAUUUUCAUAAAUGGAGGCAAAUCUAUUAAUAGCAAGCUUCUUGGAGUAUCCGGUGUAUAGAAGGAAGGGAAAUGUUGAUCAGCUAUGUUUUUUUUUUUUUUUAAAGUUCUAUGUUUAUUUGUUGUUGUUUUUUUUUUUUGCACUUUUUAGCACAGCAGACGAUCCAAAUUUUCGAAUCUUUUUCGUUUGUAGCUUUUAUUUCUUUGGAAACAGUGAAGUCUUAUUGAGCGUCCUUGACCUUGAUUAGUUCAUUGUGGAAAUCUCCAAUUGCGAUUUAAUUUUUUAACUGUUAAUACACUGUAAAACUUUUAAAUUAUAUAUCUACUUUGAAAUUGAAAAAUUUUAACAAUAAAAUUAUGUUAUUUUUGA